UACGUAGGUGGCGAGCGUUGUCCGGAUUUACUGGGCGUAAAGGGAGCGUAGGCGGACUUUUAAGUGAGAUGUGAAAUACCCGGGCUCAACUUGGGUGCUGCAUUUCAAACUGAAAGUCUAGAGUGCAGGAGAGGAGAAUGGAAUUCCUAGUGUAGCGGUGAAAUGCGUAGAGAUUAGGAAGAACACCAGUGGCGAAGGCGAUUCUCUGGACUGUAACUGACGCUGAGGCUCGAAAGCGUGGGGAGCAAACAGGAUUAGAUACCCG
rnacentral:rRNA from 1 species